UACGUAGGGUGCAAGCGUUGUCCGGAAUCAUUGGGCGUAAAGCGCGCGUAGGCGGCCCGAUAAGUCCGCUGUAAAAGUCAACGGCUCAACUGUUGAAAGCCGGUGGAUACUGUCGGGCUAGAGUACGGAAGAGGCAAGUGGAAUUCCUGGUGUAGCGGUGGAAUGCGCAGAUAUCAGGAGGAACACCAGUGGCGAAGGCGGGUCUCUGGACAGUUCCUGACACUGAGGCACGAAGGCCAGGGGAGCAAACGGG
rnacentral:rRNA from 1 species